GAUGAACGCUGGCGGCGUGCCUAACACAUGCAAGUCGAACGGAGUCCAGCCUUUAAGACCUUCGGGUCAAAGAGGGGAAGACUGAGUGGCGGACGGGUGAGUAACACGUGGGCAACCUGGCUCAUAGAGGGGGAUAACAGAGAGAAAUUUCUGCUAAUACCGCAUAAGCACACACUGCCGCAUGGCAGAGGGUGAAAAGAGAAUCGCUAUGAGAUGGACCCGCGUCUGAUUAGCCAGUUGGCAGGGUAAGAGCCUACCAAAGCGACGAUCAGUAGCCGAUCUGAGAGGAUGAACGGCAACAUUGGGACUGAGACACGGCCCAAACUCCUACGGGAGGCAGCAGUGGGGGAUAUUGCACAAUGGGGGGAACCCUGAUGCAGCGACGCCGCGUGAGUGAAGAAGUAUUUCGGUAUGUAAAGCUCUAUCAGCAGGGAAGAUAAUGACAGUACCUGAAUAAGAAGCCCCGGCUAACUACGU
rnacentral:rRNA from 1 species